CAGGCUGUCUCCACCCGAGACUCAGUGAAAUUGAACUCGCUGUGAAGAUGCAGUGUACCCGCGGCAAGACGGAAAGACCCCGUGAACCUUUACUAUAGCUUGACACUGAACAUUGAGCCUUGAUGUGUAGGAUAGGUGGGAGGCUUUGAAGUGUGGACGCCAGUCUGCAUGGAGCCGACCUUGAAAUACCACCCUUUAAUGUUUGAUGUUCUAACGUUGACCCGUGAUCCGGGUUGCGGACAGUGUCUGGUGGGUAGUUUGACUGGGGCGGUCUCCUCCUAAAGAGUAACGGAGGAGCACGAAGGUUGGCUAAUCCUGGUCGGACAUCAGGAGGUUAGUGCAAUGGCAUAAGCCAGCUUGACUGCGAGCGUGACGGCGCGAGCAGGUGCGAAAGCAGGUCAUAGUGAUCCGGUGGUUCUGAAUGGAAGGGCCAUCGCUCAACGGAUAAAAGGUACUCCGGGGAUAACAGGCUGAUACCGCCCAAGAGUUCAUAUCGACGGCGGUGUUUGGCACCUCGAUGUCGGCUCAUCACAUCCUGGGGCUGAAGUAGGUCCCAAGGGUAUGGCUGUUCGCCAUUUAAAGUGGUACGCGAGCUGGGUUUAGAACGUCGUGAGACAGUUCGGUCCCUAUCUGCCGUGGGCGCUGGAGAACUGAGGGGGGCUGCUCCUAGUACGAGAGGACCGGAGUGGACGCAUCACUGGUGUUCGGGUUGUCAUGCCAAUGGCACUGCCCGGUAGCUAAAUGCGGAAGAGAUAAGUGCUGAAAGCAUCUAAGCACGAAACUUGCCCCGAGAUGAGUUCUCCCUGACUCCUUGAGAGUCCUGAAGGAACGUUGAAGACGACGACGUUGAUAGGCCGGGUGUGUAAGCGCAGCGAUGCGUUGAGCUAACCGGUACUAAUGAACCGUGAGG
rnacentral:rRNA from 1 species